UGUAAGUAAACACUACAUGUCGUUAUUCAGUCUUUUUCGAUAACCUUUGGAGUUUUAUUUCAGUUUUGGUUAAAUUACAUUUUUAUAAAUUAAAACUGGAAAGGCAAAUGGCAUGAAUCACCGGUGAGCCUACACUGUCAGGUAAAAGUAAAGACUGUGGCUAACCGAUGGAUCACGUCGGUUUGAACGUGUUAGCGCAUUGUAAAACUCAACAUUUUUAACAAGUUUUUCCCAUACAUAUAGUCAAUGCGGUGGUUUGCCUUAGUUUCCGAGAUCUUCGUAAAAAAUUGUCAGAACCACUGCAGCACAUGGAUCAGUAUUGGUUGGCAAAAUCCAACUCAAAUUUUUGUUAUCCUUUAUCUUCUGUUUCUAGUAUAUAGCGAUCGAAAUUACAAGAUUGAUUACUAAUGGACGCAUGUGUCGUUGGAUUUACAGAGUCGAACCGUCGAAAAAUCAGGUCCUCUAUAGUCAAAGAAGAGCGUUCGUGGGGUAAAAGUAGCCGAACUUGCAGUUACUCGUAGGUGAGAGAAGGAUAAAAUUUUUCAAAAGCAUUAACCGUAUUCACAUAUAGUUGAAGAUUUUUAGUCGAUCGGCAAAAACAGACGAGCUCCUGUAUGAGUAAGUCUGUGCUCUAAAGCCUAGACCAAGGUAAUGCAAAAACUGCCUAGGUCGAGUUUGCCGACAAGGCACAAAAACGCGAGUGCUCGGCAAAAACAGAAUAAGCCGAUGAAUCAUCGAUCAACAAAACAAACUUGAUCACUAUAAGCAACGAUAUAAAGGAAAUUUAUAUCGAUUUUUCCCUAACAAUAAAUAAUAUCAAUCAUUUGUGUACAUUUAUUAUACAAUUACAUUAUUUAUAUAAAUGUCUCUUAUGUCUCUAUUUGAAUAAUGUAGGAAAUAUUACGUAGGAAUACUAUGUACGAACACUUCUGUUUUUCACUAUACAUACAUGUGUCUUAAAUGUUAUACAUACUUUGCAUGUAUCAUGUUUAACGCAUGAUGUGUGCAUAAAGAUCUUGUUAAGACGGCUUGUUAAAAUUGUACUUAUAUAUCUAUUUAAUCAAUCUUAAAGAAUAAAUAUUACACGUUUCUAUUCUUACAUAUUCGCGCAAGGAUAUGCGCAGGUACCAUGUUGGACUGCUGAAUUGUAGCCAAUCAACGAGCAGUGCUGUCAGCAAUUCUAAAUAAUAGCGGUUGACCGACACGAGGCACCAUACAGUCGUUCUGUGGAUUCGCACAUUGUCACAUGUGCGUCGUGUUGAAGGAUGCCUACAAUGUGGAUAUAUAUAUCAAUUAGUAUUGAAUACUAAACAUAGAAUUACAAAGUUAACCUGUUAAAUUUUGAUAGAAGAGAAUGUACAAAUACAAAAGAUGUAACACUUGACCGACCAUUGAUUUAUUUAAGAAUAAAUAAAGGUAUCACCCAUGUAUAUACAUAUGUAUAGAUUCUUAUGGGAUCAGAAAAUUGAACUGCCAAGAUUAUUUCAAACGUAUUCCAGCAGUAAUUAAUGAUAUCCAUAUUGCUCAUACAUCACUGUUACAUUUCAUAGAUUAAAUUGGUGUUCAAAGUCUUUGGAUCUCCAGAAACUCGUGCAUGGUUUUCGCGUUAUUCAACUAAACCUAUUCUCCUGUACGGUAAAUCAUUCUAAAUCUUCCCUUUCGUUGGUAUGGUGAGUCGUUUUUAUUAUCUUUAUUAUUAUUAUUUUUAUUUUAUUAUUUUAUUAUUAUUAUUAUUAUUAUCUUUUUCUCUUCUAAUUAGUUAACUACGGUAUGGUAUGAUAUUAGGUAACUAAUUAGUUACUCAAUUUUAUUUAUUUAUUUUGUUUUUUUGAACGCUUUGUUAUAUAGUUUACAUAAACAUAACGUAUUCCUAAAAAAAAGGUUCUUUUUGUCCAACGAACUGUUUCCUAUGCAACCUCUCCUGGUUAUCUUGCGUACGCGUAACAUUCACGUACCGUUACAUGCGUUGCCACUCCACACUUCUUUUUAUACUAUUACUUGAAUAUAGAAUUAUAGGAAACGUUUAAAAAUACAAUAGUACAAAAAUAUCGAAAAUAUAAAAAUAUAAAACUAUCGAAAUUAUAGAAACUGAGAUUAAACAGUAGUACUUAUAUUCUACAUUCGUCUUGUAUUACAUAUACAUUUUUUAAAUUAUAUAUAUGAGCCAAAAUAGAAUGUAUAAAGUAUACUUUAUAUAAUAUGUUUCAUGUCCCACAUUUUUCUUAACCAUCGCAUUUUAUCUCAGACAUUUUCUUUUCACAAUUUUCUCAGUGUUUCCUCCUGAACUUCCACCAAGCUGCAUAUCAUUUUUUACUUUCCUCUCUUUCUGCCCCCCUCCCUCAUACGAGGCAUACUUAAAAAGAUCGUUGAAUUUUCUCCUUAUUCGAGAAAAUAUUUAUUUGUUUGUCUAUAUUCAAGUUAUUCCCUUUGAAUAUGUUGAAGUAACUACUUCAAGAAGAACUACACAUCUUUAUUUAUGUAUAUCCGUGACCUAGAGACCUGUAUUACACAGAAAAUAGAAUCUAGUGAAAGAAUAUUACUCGAAAUAAAGAGGGGCCCAUGUUAUUGUACCGUUGAGUAUACAUUUGUUUUGGCUUACAAGGUCUAGGAACAAAGGAACUAAUAAAUAGAUUUCUAUUUAUGUUCCUCGUAGCCUUUCGCUAAAACUAUAAGGUUAACUAUUUUGGUAAUGACCUUUUGCUAUAAAUGAACAUGCUCCCUAUCGGUUCUAUUAUAUUGUAACACUAAGAGAGCAGGGAUCUGAAUCAGCAUAAACUUAUACUUAUACUUUUAUUUAUUUCAAUAUAUUUUUCUAUUACAAAUUCAUCCACUCGUUCUACUAUCAGUCAACCUCAACAGAUAUAUUUUUAUGACAACAUAUUUUUUCCAGCGUGUCUUUCAGUCAUGAACACAUUUCUGAAAACACUUUCUUCUAUAGUGCAUUGUUCGCAUAAGGAUUUUUGUUUUAUUUUUUCAUUCUGGAGAAUAACAAAUAAUCGCAAGGUAGAGAGCAGUCGAAUAUGGUCUUUGUAAAUGUUAUUUUUUGCGAGAAACUCCUGAGCCAGUAGCGACGCAUGAGCUGAUUAUAGUAGUACAAUUUCUACGAGUUAUCGUUUCACAAAUCCUUCGAAUUACUUCGCGCAAUCGACGUGAAAUGCUCAAAUAGAAUAGAUUUUCGGAGAGUUCAAAAGCAGAUAUGAAUUAUUUGUUAUUUGGACAAAUUUAAAGACAUUGUUUAAUAUAAUGAGAUUAAUUGUUAUUUACAAAUAAAAUUUUAUUUUUUAUUUAUUACUUUUAUUUGGUAUUUAUUAGUCGUUGAGCAAAUUUAUUUCUACAUAAAUAUAACAUUUCAAUCAGAAAGAUCGCUGUAAAUUACAACUCGUAAUUUUUAAUAAUACUAGGUAAGAAUAAUAUGAACUGCGAUAUGACUGUUGAAAAACGACCAUACUAAUUGUACGAUUUUUUCAUUGUACAAAAAGAAACACAUACGACACAGAUAUAUUAUCAUUUGAGAUCGGAUUUAAUUCAAAUAGAGAAUAAAAUUUCAUUUAUAAUUAAGAAAUAAUAAAUAAAUUAUUUUUGGUAUCGUCUAAACGAUUAUUAUUUAAAUAAGAAAUUUAAUUCUUAUUCAGAAUUUAAAUGCUAUAUUAAUUUGUUAUUUAUUAUUUAAUAGAUAAAUCAAUUUAUGCUCAAAACUGUGGUUGUAAGAAAACAGAAACUUAAUAUAUGUAAUUAACCAUAAAAACCAUCUUUUUUACAUUAUUAUUUUUUUACAUAUGGAGAUGUAAUUCCGUUUUUAACAGUAAUUAUGUCUUUUUUUGGUACUAUUUGAUAAUGCUUCUCAAGAUGAAUUUUCAUUAACCUUUCAUGUAUAUUACUGAUUUCAAUUAAUUUUUGAGACAUUGUGCUAAUAAAUUGACUGAUUUUUGCGGGAAAACAUUCCUCAAAUGAGUCAAAAGCGCGGUUGGUGAUCUUGUUCGCGUGUGAAGUGCCACGUAUCAAAUAUUGCAUCUUGUAAAAUAGGUACCAUCGAAUCAUGUGAAGAAAAAUAUAUAGUUCCAUUUUAGUUUUAUCUUGAACUUUACGUUGAAUUUGAACUCUACCUUCAUAUCUUAGGAAACAAUGAUGUAUACAAAUUAGUCUUUGUGAAAAAUGUGCCCUUAUUGUAUCAUGCAAUCGUCAUGUAAUAAAUUUUUGAUAACUGCAAUACUUCAGGCAAUAAAGGGUUGGUCAUAGUUACCGAGGAUAAGCCAUAUAUUAAAAAAGUAUUUUUGGUAUAUGUUGAAAUGAUUAAAUUCGAUAUAUGUAUAUAGAAAAUAUUCCAUGUAUAUAUUAAAAAGAUAAGAUAUUUAUCUUUAAGGUAAUGUUAUCUAUUAUUCUUUCAUAAUAUAUGUAUAUAUACUACUACCAUACGUAAUAUACUAGUGGAAAACCUAAUACUAUGUACUUAUACUAUAAAUUAAUAUCAAUACAUAGUAAUAGACAUUAAUACCGAUACUCAUACUAUGCGAUAUUAAACAUCAUCCUAAUAAUUUUACUUUUGAUAAAUAAGUAAUUAGUUUCAGGGUCUGCGAUUUCCACCUUUUGCACUCAGCGCAGGCGUGCCUGAUUAGUUACUUUUGAAGUUACAAUUUGAAGCUCUGUUACUCUACGAAAUAAUUAGACCGUCCACUUUAUCGUAUAACUCCGCUUUAUGGAUUGUAUCGAAAAUAUCGGACGGCCGUUACACUGAACAUUGGCGCAUGAUAAUUAAUUUUCGUGCACUGAACGAAAAAAACAAAGCGACAAGUAUCCACUAUCUCAAAUUACCGAUACUCUGGACCAACUGAGAGGUUCAAAGUAUUUCUCAAUGUUUGAUCUGGCAAAUGAAUUUCAACGUUUAAUAUAUCUGGUAUUAAUUCCGUGAAAUAUAGAUUCAAAAUUGUUUGAAUGAUACAGUAAUCCACUCUUCAGCUCUAUAGGAAGUGAAAAUUUAAAGAUUGUUGACUCAUGUAAAAAAUCGCGGAUUUACGGCGUCAUUGACGAUGUUAAACCAGGUCCAAGGAAACUUCAUACGGUAGAAAAUUUUCUUACUCCAAAGUCAGAAUCUAACAAUCCAGAAUCCAAGGAUAUCUAACAAUUCUUAGGAUUGACAAGUCACAUAUUAUCGUCGUUAUCGGAGACUACCUUGUUAACGCAAAAUCAUUGAUUCCCCUGCUAGAAAAAGAAUCGGUCUGUUUGAAAUGGACCGAUGAACAAUAGAAGCACUUUAAAAAUCUGCAAGACGAAUAAAACUAAUACAACUUUAUCCAGAUUUCAACCAUCCAAUUUUUAUCAUUACGGACGCUUCAGAUCAUACAAAUAUUGAGCGCAGUAUUGAGCCAAAAUGAAAGUGGUCCCGAUAUACCGAUUUAAUAUGGUUCUCGGAGUUUAUAUCCAGUCGGAAAGAAUUAUUCACCAACUGAGAAGGAAUGCCUGGCUAUGAUAUAUGCUACGCAGUACUUCCGACCUUUUGUGUUAGUAAAUUUUCACUCAUAAUUCACUAUCGACCCUUAGUGUAACUAUAUUCAGUCGAAGAUCCCAUUUCAAGAUUGGUUAAAUGGAAAUGAAUGCUGCUAGAGUACAAAUGCAAUUUCGUACUCAAACCAAAGUAUCGCAAUUCAGUGGUCUUCUUUUAAUCGCUCGCAAAGAUGAGGAAUUCGAAGCGCACUUAUCCAAGAUUAACCGGUUAUCGUGUUUAAGAAAUGGAACGAAAUCAAAGAUGGUUUACACAGAGCGUACCUCCUAGGAAUUCGAAUGAACCCAAUUACAACGCCACGUCUAUUCGUAGAAAGAGGAAAGGUUCACCAGGAAGCAACCAACGCAACAACGAAAGACGUUGGUGCACCGUUCCUCAAAUCCACAUGGAAGGUGUUAUAAACUCAUACGUUACAUUUACUCUAGUAGCACAUUCAAUACUAACCAAAAAUCAUCUCACGUUAAGUCUGAACAAUAAAUAAAAUACUAAUAAUUCACAAAGGGAUCUAAUAACGUUGGACAAAGGGAAAGCCGAAGAAGCUACUUCGCUCGAUGAUCCCAACCGAUUGAAGUGAAAUAGAGAAAUCAGGCGAUCAAAGCCUGCAAUCUCGUGUGUCUUCUCAACCUAUGAGAAUAUAUACCCCACAAAUUCUGGAAACCACUUGAACGCAGUGGAGAAGUAUUAUUCCAGAUUAUUAAGAAUCUGAUACCGAUGUGCCACUCUCCUAUGAUUCACAACCAGAGGAAGAAGAAGACAACCACGAGUUCUAAAAUAAA